CCGAAACCCUCCAAUGGGCAGCUCAUCCCCACUCCCCGCCGCCGAUUCCUCUCCUUAUCGCCGAUAUCGCCGACCCACAAUCCAUCCACCGUCUCUGCACCCAAACCAAGCUCGUUCUCAACUGCGUCGGACCCUUCCGCCGCUACGGCGAGCCAGUGGUUGCGGCGUGCGUGGAGACAGGGUGCGAUUACUUGGACAUUUGUGGGGAGCCGGAGUUCAUGGAGAAAAUGG
rnacentral:misc_RNA from 1 species